GACAGAGGUGCCGAGCGUUAGGCGGAAUCACUGGGCUUAAAGCGUGUGUAGGCGGCCCGUUAAGUAUCUUGUGAAAUCCCCCGGCUCAACCGGGGAACUGCUGGGCAUACUGGCGGGCUUGGGUCGCUCAGGGGCAGACGGAACAGGCGGUGGAGCGGUGAAAUGCGUAGAUAUCGCCUGGAACGCCGAAGGUCGAAAACAGUCUG
rnacentral:rRNA from 1 species